rnacentral:tRNA from 1 species
ACCUGGCUGGCUCAGUCGGUGGAGCGUGCGACUCUUGAUCUCAGGGUUGUGAGUUCCAGCCCCGUGUUGGGUA